UACGAAGGGGGCUAGCGUUGUUCGGAAUUACUGGGCGUAAAGCGCACGUAGGCGGAUUGAUAAGUUAGGGGUGAAAUCCCGGGGCUCAACCUCGGAACUGCCUUUGAUACUGUUAGUCUCGAGUCAGAUAGAGGUGAGUGGAAUUCCUAGUGUAGAGGUGAAAUUCGUAGAUAUUAGGAAGAACACCAGUGGCGAAGGCGGCUCACUGGAUCGGUACUGACGCUGAGGUGCGAAAGCGUGGGGAGCAAACAGG
rnacentral:rRNA from 1 species